UACGUAGGGGGCAAGCGUUGUCCGGAUUUAUUGGGCUUAAAGCGCGUGUAGGCGGUCUGAUAAGUCGGACGUGAAAUCCCGGGGCUCAACCCCGGAAGAGCGCUCGAUACUGUCUGACUUGGGUUCUGAAGAGGAGAGCGGAAUUCCCGGUGUAGAGGUGAAAUGCGCAGAUAUCAGGAGGAACACCGGUGGCGAAGGCGGGUCUCUGGGCAAUAACUGACGCUGAGGAGCGAAAGCGUGGGGAGCGAACAGG
rnacentral:rRNA from 1 species